CCUACGGGAGGCAGCAGUGAGGAAUAUUGGUCAAUGGGCGCGAGCCUGAACCAGCCAAGUAGCGUGAAGGAUGACUUCCCUACGGGUUGUAAACUUCUUUUAUAAAGGAAUAAAGUGAGGCCCGUGUGCCUUUUUGUAUGUACUUUAUGAAUAAGGAUCGGCUAACUCCGUGCCCGCAUCCGCGGUAAUACGGAGGAUCCGAGCGUUAUCCGGCUUUAUUGGGUUUAAAGGGAGCGUAGAUGGGUUGUUAAGUCAGUUGUGAAAGUUUGCGGCUCAACCGUAAAAUUGCAAUUGAUACUGGCAGCCUUGAGUACAGUUGAGGUAGGCGGAAUUCGUGGUGUAGCGGUGAAAUGCUUAGAGCUCACGAAGAACUCCGAUUGCGAAGGCAGCUUACUAAACUGCCACUGACAUUGAUGCUCGAAAGUGUGGGUAUCAAACAGGAUUAGAUACCCCUGUAGUC
rnacentral:rRNA from 1 species